ACUGGGUAGGUCCCGCCGUGCGCGGGGCCCGUGGGGUCUCCUCUGCGGCGGGUGCUGCAGCGCGAAGCUGCUUGUCUGUCCCGGGGCCCCUUUCCUCCCCGCCUGCCGCCUGCGCAGCCUCCCUGGCUCCUCGACGUGCUGGGCGGUGGUGCAGGGGGUGCAAGACGGGCCUUUGCUUCUCGGCCGGCGCUGAAACCUCUCCAGCGAGCGCCUCGCCAGGCACCAGCUUUCCCUUCUUUACGGAGAAAGACAUGAACACGUGUUGCGGUUCCGGGAGCAGCGCCGGACAUCGCUUCCGUUCCAGGGGAGUUUGGGACCUCGGUGUCAACGGUGUGAAGCUGAGAGCGGGGAGCUGAAGGGACGGUGUUAUUAGUGCGUGCGUGCUCCGGAAACCUUACAUUGUGCACAGAUGUAUCCGGUACGGCUAUUUUUACUCCGUGUCUGAGCCGUGGACCUUGGAAUCGGUGGGCCCCGGAAAGUUGGGUUCCUGACACUUCCUUCUAAGCAGAGAACACGGCAGACAACCAACUGAGGAAGGAAGAAAUCCCCGCCCGCUCAGCGUAAGGGACGUAAAGGUCCCUGAAGGGCAGCCGGAGAAGAAGGAAUGGAAGCAAGAGAAGAAAGCUCGGGAACAAGAAGUGUGGGUUGGGGUGGGCAGGAGGAAGGGGAAUGUUUAAUGUCUGCUUAGAGAAGUUCAGAUGGAGACUGUUGAGUGCCUCUCUACACUUUCAAACACCCAUUAGGAGCAAGCAGCCGCACGCUUCAAAUUGCACCGUGCACUCGGUCUUGGGUUGGCCCUGAUUGUGUGCAGGGAGGUUGAGGCUUUGUGCUAGUUGUGCAUUUUGAUAUGCAGCAAUGAAGGGUUUCGUAGGUUGUUUGGCUUUGCUAGUUAAGCAGUGGAUCAAAAUAGAUGCAAUCCAAGGCAGUGUAUAGGGUGUUCUUGUUUGGUUCGUUGAGCAGUUCUCGGCGUUAGUGUAGAAAUGCAGGUUUGUGCUCGGUUCUGUUUGUGGUUUGGCUGUAGCUUUGCAUAGGAUGUAGCUUGUGGGGCCAAUUUGAGGCUGUUUGUGGUGCAAUAAAUAUAUUUGCAUCUGUACGUUAAGGCUUCAGGGUGCUCGUGUUUAACCUCCAGCUCCACAAGGACAAAUUUCUUGUCCUGUGUCCAAACAACCAUAAAGGUAGUUGGUGUGGUCAACAUCAAACUGCCAGGAGGAAACGGGCCUAAGAUGUGCACAGUCGAACAAUAAACGGUCUAAGAAACUUCACCUCGUGGCUGGUACUUUUCUGUGCUGAGAUUUGGCUACGGGCCUUUCCUGUUGCGAGCUGGCUGAAGGAUGAACUUUUUCAUUCAGUCUGCCGAUCCGAUCUGUGUUCUUACUUGUGCAAUGCAGAUAUUUCCUCUUCUGAUGGACCAGUGGGAAAAGAAUGUGUAACACAUGGUUCCUAGUCAUUGGUUUACAAUGGCUAAUGCACUGUAGGAAAUCAGUCCUGAGUUAUUUGAGGUAAAGUAUAGUGAAGUUGUGGUGCUGUGGUGUAAUCUGUUGAAGUUCGGCUGCUCCUUGUCUCAAAAGGAAUACAUGGUCCGAAUGAAAAUAAAAUUCUCAGGACACUUGUGAGGUACUUGGGUUUUUUUUCAGUCCAGGUGUUUCAGGCCUUCUUCUCUGAAUGCCUUUAGUACAAGUCUUGCUAUUUCUAAUGGCAGGGUGGGGGCUGGGUCCCGGCGGUGGGAAGCUGCAUUGUCAUUGUUGCAAGAAGGGGAACGACUGUGUGCAUCCCCUCUGCCUCCAGGUUUUCCUGAGUCCCUUAAGCCCAGCUGAGGUCCUGCCCCCCUUGCCUGUUUAAUGUAAUGUCUGCAGCCUUUCAGCCAGCUCUACCUAUGUCAUUCCUGAGGGGCUGCUUAGUUUGGGGGAGCCAAACCCAUUUUCUCAUUCAUUUUUAUUUUUAGAACUAUAUUGAUUCUUCAAACGUAUUACUUUAAAUAUUAGGGAAAUGUUAAGUCCAUGACAGCCAGUACAUUUCUCUGGCAACUUGGCACUAGGAAGGGCAUGAAUAUCUUGUAACCAUUGAAAAAACAAGACACCUCACUUGACAGUAGGGGCUUCUGAUUAACGUAGCGUAUAAGAUACAAAUCUAGUGUUCCUGUGGGCUGACUCGCCUCCGCCUGGCUGCUGAGCAUCUUAAGCCUAAGCCCAAAUAGAUGAUGCCUCUCCUCCUCAUGUCUGCAAGUGCAGCGCCAGUCGAUGGGGAAGGGAUCGGCGCUCUUGCUGUUUCGGCAUUUAUUCCAGCCCGGAGGAGCCAUGGUUAUAAUGCUGCUCUCCUCCCUAUGCUUCCUUGGCUGUCACUUUUGCUCUGAUAGAGAAGU